UGUAUUGUGUCUUUCUUGCUCAUCCCAGGACACCCAAUGCUUAGUACAAUGCCAGACAAUCAUGGAACUUAAUACAUAUUUGUGGAAGAAACCAGUAACUUUAUCUCAGGGUCAAAAUCAGUUGCCUUAGGUCUGAUGGCAGUAUCUUGCUGACAGGAAUGGCAUAAAAACAGAAGACUCAGAAAGAAAUCCAUCAGCAAAGUCUACAUGACUCCUGAAGCAUUUUGGGGAGCAGAGGAUUGUUCCACCAUGUGCCGAUUUGGGGUUCAUAUGCCAAGCAAGCAGAGCGAGCCUCAACAGCCUGCUCUCCUUACGUUGCACCUAUCCGUCAACCAAUAUGGACUGCUAAAUUUGCACCUUUCACAGACCUCAGGAAAACUCCUGAUUUUCUUCUGGUUCUCUGAAGAAGUUCUGUUAGUGAAGAUUCCUUGCCCAGUAAGAGAUGUCUGCUGAGGCCUCCUAGCGGCUGGAGAAAACCCUGCUCAUUGUCCUCCCUCCAAAGGGACAGGAAGUUUGCUUCCGUGAGUCUCUACACUGGCUCAGUCUGCACAGCCCCAGUGAGCUUUCUCACACGUCACCAGCUUACCAGCUUCAGAACCGAUGUGUCUUCACGGAGCACAUCUCUGGUGAGCACUUUAGGGUCUUGGGCUUUGGCUCUGCCUUAUUCACCCAUUUCUCUCCAUUCACACUUUCACCACUUUUUACUGUGUGCCUCCUAAG
rnacentral:lncRNA from 1 species